GGUUAAGCGACUAAGCGUACACGGUGGAUGCCUAGGCAAUCAGAGGCGAUGAAGGACGUGCUAAUCUGCGAUAAGCGUCGGUAAGGUGAUAUGAACCGUUACAACCGACGAUUUCCGAAUGGGGAAACCCAGUGCAAUYCGUUGCACUAUCGUUUGAUGAAUACAUAGUCAAACGAAGCGAACCGGGGGAACUGAAACAUCUCAGUACCCCGAGGAAAAGAAAUCAACCGAGAUUCCCCUAGUAGCGGCGAGCGAACGGGGAGCAGCCCAGAGUCUUAAUCAGCAUUAGCAUCAGGAGAACGGUCUGGAAAGUCCGGCAGUAAAGGGUGAUAGCCCCGUAUCCGAAGGUGUUAGUGUUGUGAACUCGACGAGUAGGGCG
rnacentral:rRNA from 1 species